AUUGAACGCUGGCGGCAGGCCUAACACAUGCAAGUCGAACGGCAGCACAGAAGAGCUUGCUCUUUGGGUGGCGAGUGGCGGACGGGUGAGUAAUGUCUGGGAAACUGCCCGAUGGAGGGGGAUAACUACUGGAAACGGUAGCUAAUACCGCAUAACGUCGCGAGACCAAAGUGGGGGACCUUCGGGCCUCACACCAUCGGAUGUGCCCAGAUGGGAUUAGCUAGUAGGUGGGGUAAUGGCUCACCUAGGCGACGAUCCCUAGCUGGUCUGAGGGGCGGACCAGCCACACUGGAACUGAGACACGGUCCAGACUCCUACGGGAGGCAGCAGUGGGGAAUAUUGCACAAUGGGCGCAAGCCUGAUGCAGCCAUGCCGCGUGUAUGAAGAAGGCCUUCGGGUUGUAAAGUACUUUCAGCGGGGAGGAAGGCGGUGAGGUUAAUAACCUUGCCGAUUGACGUUACCCGCAGAAGAAGCACCGGCUAACUCCGUGCCAGCCGCCGCAGUAAGAC
rnacentral:rRNA from 1 species